rnacentral:misc_RNA from 1 species
AGUUGUCCCAUGGUUCUUGGUUGCUGCAAAAAUCCGACUUUCGCUGCAAUGCUUCUCUUUGUUAGGUUUGUUUUAAUGGUUCUUGCCUUGACCUACUGUUUCUACAAGAGGAAGAAGUAGUCCCAUGGUGGUGUGAGCGAUGCUAGAAGGAAGAAUAAUCAGGUCUGUUUGUUAGAUGCCCUACCCAUUUUCGGGAUUAGGGUGGCUGUUAGAUGGGUCAAUUUAAUGGGUAUGGGUGAUGAG